rnacentral:tRNA from 1 species
AGGAUAAUAGUUAAACUUUAUAACAUUUAAUUUGCACUUAAAAUUUAUUGAAUUUCAAUUUAUCUU